CUUUUUCUUUAUCUUUUUUUCUUCUUCUCCUUUUAUCUUUUAUCUUUU
rnacentral:sRNA from 1 species